AUGUGUGUCUCUAGGACUUUUGUACUUAUUUAUAGAAGCCAUCUUUUACAGAGAGAGGAGUUAGCACCCAGCACACCGCACUUACGUUAUAAUCGGAGUGUGUGGUGCGUGCAUGUUGACAGCAAAGUGUUGAACCAGCAGUCUGCAGCCGCGGUAGCCCUCUCUCUCUUUCUGUCGGGCCGGGAACAUGAGAACCUCUUCAGCGCUCUGCACAAUGUGGUGGGGAGCUGCGAACCGCAUGGAAGGUCACAUGGCCACAGCCAGCGCGAUAUCUCUGAAUGGAACUGGCGCUUCCUGCCUGAGACGGGCUGUGGGUGGCUCGCUCGCUGUCACCACAGCUUCGCCCCGGGAGGCGUGGGGACUGGAGGGGGGGGAGGGCACAGCGCCCUGCGCGGCCAGGAGCUGUGUUCACACGCCACUGAAGGCGGCCUGCGCCACGCAGCCCUGCGAGAAAGAGAGACGGGGCCCAGGCUACCGAGCAGAACUGCACGACCGCUAUGCAAAUGGAGUGGAAACAGGGAAGCUGUUUUCCCGAGUGUCCAUCCUGCCAGAGAGUGAAGAGGAGCUGGGAGGAUCUCCACUCUUAUGACCUCGAAUGACCUGCUCAGCUCCCAGUGGAUGCACAGCCCUCUGGUUUCUCAGCUACCAGGGCAGAAUAAUGAUAAGCUUAGCUGAAACCACUGAGCACUUCUAAGGUGUUAUCACACUUAUGAAGAAUGAUAUAUAAAGAGUCCUGUACCACACUCUGGGGUGUGUGCCACUCCCCCUUGAAGGACCACACUUAGAGUAGCCCAUACCUUGCUCCCUGGCCAUGGCCCUGUUAUCAAGUGAGGAUAAGGUAAAGGUCUAUUCCAAGCUGAAAGGAAAAGAAAAGAGAACAUCUGGGCUGUGGAGCCUGCUGUAAGUUCUAAGGCUACACCUCAAGACAGCUCCACAGCCGAAAUGUUGUGUCUCUUUCUUUUCCUUGCCUUUGCUUUCAACACGGCAUAAACCUCUUGCUGCUCCUUCACGGCCUAUCCACUCGAAUUAAUUGAGUUAAAUUUAGAAAUCAAUUGAAAACUGAAAAAAGGUUUUGGGAAUCCACUCCUCUUUCUGAGCCCAGAAAUAUGUGAGGAUGUGAGUGCUGGGACGCUCAAAUACUAAAGCCCAAAGCCUCAAAAGGGAUCAAUAAGAAUGCCUCAUGCCUGCUCCCCAG
rnacentral:lncRNA from 1 species